GAACUGUAAUAACAUCAUCUGGGUCAUUUACAUCCAGACAUCGCUUCUGCUUGAGUUUACAGGUCACAGGUGACACUUGGUGUUGUUUGAUUAGCUGUGAAUGACGCAAUAACUUCUAUUUCGAUAAACACAAAUCACCUGCAUGAUAACUUCGUGACUAAC